GAAGCUUUAGGAAAACAGACAAACCUGACACCAGCAUCUCCGACAAUACCAAUGGCCAUUCCAGCGGAAAGACCAGCAAGACCACACGCAAGACCGGAGGAGAGAUGGGCGUAUCCGUCGAAGAGGUAGUAAGACUUAGCCUUGGGGUUAAUCCCGGUACUGAUGAUAACAGCAAUAAUCAAACCGUAAAUACCCAACACACCAGCCAUAACAACAGGGACAAUGGAUUUCAUCACAAGCUCGGGUCUCAUCACUCCCAUUGAAGCCACACCAACACCACUCUUUGCCGUUCCAUAAGCAGCUCCCAUACCUAUCCAUACAACGAAAAAUUCACAUAUUAAACACAUGUCCAAAAUAUAAACAAUUCUUACAGGAUCCCACGAGACUCAUACUAUGUAAUACUCCAUCUGUUAUGAACUGUAAGAUGUUUAGAAUAAUUUUUAUGUUCCAAUAUAUAAGAUGUUCUCAUCUUUCUAGGUAAUUUUAAGUUUAUCAAAAACUGUGUAGCCAAUUAAAUUUAAUAGUUCUAUUUUGUAAUUGGUUGAAUAGUUUUUAGUUUAUAAAUUUAAUGAUACUUUCUAGUUAAAAAGUAAUUUUCUUAAUAAGUGUGCACUACCCAAAACAUCUUACAUUUCAGAACAGAGGGAAUAUAAUGCAGACUUCUCCCAACGGGAUUUGAACCUAUGACCCCUUGGAUCUCUACUAGGUAAUCCAAAAGUUUUAACUACCAGAUCAAAUUUAACAGCCAAAUAAGAAUGACUUAACUACAAUAUAAUAAUGAUGACUGAAAAGCAUUGCUCAAUCACAUGAUCCAAGGUCAAACGCAAACCAUAUCUAAUAAAUCACGUAUUCAUUUUGGCUCUGGACGCAGAUCGAACCUAAGAGACUAGUUCUUUCAAUCAAUCAUACAGUCGAUGAUCUAGAGUCAUUCAUACGCGCAAGCGAUCUUCGAUCAAUCAUGUGUGCAUUUUCCUAGACAUUUCUCAAACAACUACACGAAUCUCAAAACAUUUUUCCAAGAAACAAGGAAGACGAUCACGAACAAGGAUGAGAGUAGAGAGAAAGAGGAAAUUACAGGAGAAGACGAGUGCGGCUGCGGCGCCGAGGAAACCGAAGAAGGGAGCUGUUUCGUCGCCGCUGAACGUAGACAUGUUCGAAGUUUUUAUCUCUGGGCGUAUCCGUCGAAGAGGUAGUAAGACUUAGCCUUGGGGUUAAUCCCGGUACUGAUGAUAACAGCAAUAAUCAAACCGUAAAUACCCAACACACCAGCCAUAACAACAGGGACAAUGGAUUUCAUCACAAGCUCGGGUCUCAUCACUCCCAUUGAAGCCACACCAAC
rnacentral:lncRNA from 1 species